rnacentral:miRNA from 1 species
AGGGCUUAGCUCACCUGUGAA